UUAUAGACAUGGAUUCAUAUAGAGAUGAGAAGAAGCAACUACAUAGAAGAUCAGCCUGACAGAAAUCAAUAUAGAGUUUCAGAAAUCAAAUUAUCCAUGUUGCCAAAAAACAGCAUUUUUGCCAGCUGCAAUGCAUUCUGUAGCAUUUUAUCACCCUUUUCUACCAUAGAACGAUGCUGGAGUUCCUUAAACUGAAACAGCAGUGCAGAGGAAAAUCUGUUAACAUUUCUGAUAGCUAGAAAAGCCCGAUCUCGUAAAUUUGUAACUUGUUAUUAUAAAAAUAAAAAUGGCACUGCUACAACACCAUUCUCUGACCCACUCCUUCUAUCCACUGAAAGCUACUCUAUUCCAGUAGUUUUUUUUUCACUUUUUCUACUGGAAAUGUUUUAGGAAAUGGGGUCUCCUGUAGAAAUGAUUCAUGAUGCAGGAACCAUCUUUUAGCAUGUUUACAGCAUGUAGUAAUCCCUUAGUGCAAAAAACGGGUGGGUUGAUGGUUGGCUAGGAGGACUAAUGAAUGGAUGCAAGUAGAUAAAGAAAACGCAAUAGCAAAUGUUGAGUUAUAAUAAACUAACAUCUGCUACUGAAGAAGUUAAUUAUAGCAGGUUUUGUUAUAACCUGUUUUGCUUUGAUGAAGCUGAAACUGCAAAAUAUGCUUCAGUUAAGGCAAGCAGAAAUGUAUCGCGGGGUGGGGGACAGUACCUAUAAUGAAUGGUAACCUGAUUUAUUUAGAUUGAGAAAAUGCAAUAAAGAACAGAUUGCUUAAAAUUAUUGAAGUCAUUAUACAAGCAUGAUCAGAUUCUACUGAAAGACUUACCUUACUGCAAGAUUUUUUAAACCUUUUUUAUGCAUGAGUGUUUCUUGUUUCUUUUUCCUCCUCAGAUGUAGCUAACUGCUAAGUAAUCAUAACACAUUGAAAACAUACCUGGCUGCACAUUUCAGCAAAAAUAAAUAAAUAAAAUAAUCUAAUAUUGUG